rnacentral:rRNA from 1 species
GAUGAACGCUAGCGGCAGGCUUAACACAUGCAAGUCGAGGGGCAGCACAGGUGGCAACACCGGGUGGCGACCGGCGUAAGGGUGCGUAACACGUGAGCAACAUACCCGUAUCUGGAGGAUAACCGGAGGAAACUCUGCCUAAUACUCCAUAAUAUCAUCGUACGGCAUCGUUUGGUGAUUAAAGAUUUAUCGGACACGGAUUGGCUCGCGGGACAUUAGCUUGUUGGUGGGGUAACGGCUCACCAAGGCCACGAUGUCUAGGGGUUCUGAGAGGAAGGUCCCCCACACUGGAACUGAGACACGGUCCAGACUCCUACGGGAGGCAGCAGUGAGGAAUAUUGGACAAUGGUCGGAAGACUGAUCAGCCAUGCCGCGUGAAGGUUACCGGUCCUAUGGAUUUUUAAACUUCUUUUUGUAUUGGAAGCAAUAAGGUGCACGCGUGCAUCGAUGGAGAGUACCAUACGAAUAAGCAUCGGCUAACUCCGUGCCAGCAGCCG